rnacentral:rRNA from 1 species
AUUGAACGCUGGCGGAAUGCUUUACACAUGCAAGUCGAACGGUAGAGGGGGCAACCCCUCGAGAGUGGCGAACGGGUGAGUAAUAUAUCGGAACGUGCCCAGUCGUGGGGGAUAACGUAGUGAAAAUUACGCUAAUACCGCAUACGAUCUAAGGAUGAAAGCGGGGGAUCGCAAGACCUCGCGCGAUUGGAGCGGCCGAUAUCAGAUUAGGUAGUUGGUAGGGUAAAGGCCUACCAAGCCAACGAUCUGUAGCUGGUCUGAGAGGACGACCAGCCACACUGGAACUGAGACACGGUCCAGACUCCUACGGGAGGCAGCAGUGGGGAAUUUUGGACAAUGGGCGAAAGCCUGAUCCAGCCAUUCCGCGUGCAGGAUGAAGGCCCUCGGGUUGUAAAGCUCUUUCGCAAGGGAAGAAACGAUGCCGACGAAUAAUCGGUGUUAAUGACGGUACCUUGAUAAGAAGCACCGGCUAACUACGUG